UACGUAGGGUGCGAGCGUUGUCCGGAAUUAUUGGGCGUAAAGAGCUUGUAGGCGGUUUGUCGCGUCUGCCGUGAAAAUUCGAGGCUCAACCUCGAACUUGCGGUGGGUACGGGCAGACUAGAGUGUGGUAGGGGAGACUGGAAUUCCUGGUGUAGCGGUGAAAUGCGUAGAGAUCAGGAAGAACAUCGGUGGCGAAGGCGGGUCUCUGGGCAACAACUGACGCUGAGGAGCGAAAGCGUGGGGAGCGAACAGG
rnacentral:rRNA from 1 species